rnacentral:rRNA from 1 species
UGAACGCUGGCGGCGUGCCUACUACAUGCAAGUCGAGCGAACAGACGCGGAGCUUGCUCCUCUGACGUUAGCGGCGGACGGGUGAGUAACACGUGGAUAACCUACCUAUAAGACUGGGAUAACUUCGGGAAACUGGAGCUAAUACCGGAUAAUAUAUUGAACCGCAUGGUUCAAUAGUGAAAGACGGUUUUGCUGUCACUUAUAGAUGGAUCCGCGCCGCAUUAGCUAGUUGGUAAGGUAACGGCUUACCAAGGCAACGAUGCGUAGCCGACCUGAGAGGGUGAUCGGCCACACUGGAACUGAGACACGGUCCAGACUCCUACGGGAGGCAGCAGUAGGGAAUCUUCCGCAAUGGGCGAAAGCUUGACGGAGCAACGCCGCGUGAGUGAUGAAGGUCUUCGGAUCGUAAAACUCUGUUAUUAGGGAAGAACAAAUGUGUAAGUAACUAUGCACGUCUUGACGGUACCUAAUCAGAAAGCCACGGCUAACUACGUG